CAUGGAACCUGCAGGAACCAUCCAGGUGGACCAAUGAAAAAUGCCUUUUGUCUACAAAUUGCAGUGAUCCUGCAUAAACUGGAGGCUUCUGUCUGGCUUAGGACAACUGGCUAAGUCUGAGGGUUCCCCUCCAUACAGC